rnacentral:rRNA from 1 species
UGCGUAGGCAGCAAGCGUUGUUCGGAGUUACUGGGCGUAAAGGGUGUGUAGGCGGUUGUUUAAGUUUGGUGUGAAAUCUCCCGGCUCAACUGGGAGGGUGCGCCGAAUACUGAAUGACUAGAGUGCGGGAGAGGAAAGUGGAAUUCCUGGUGUAGCGGUGAAAUGCGUAGAUAUCAGGAGGAACACCGGUGGUGUAGACGGCUUUCUGGACCGUAACUGACGCUGAGACACGAAAGCGUGGGUAGCAAACAGG